ensembl:lncRNA
UCACACAACUGAAGAUGUGGAAGAGAGCAUGACAAGUUUCACAGCUAAUGGACUGACCAUCAUAGCCGAUGAGGAAUACUUGACCAUCACCACCACAGCUCCCUCUCCUCCAAGCAGCAGCAUUGCUGUCUCCAAUGAACCGCCACCACCAUCAGCCCUUUCUCCAUCACUGUUAAGCACACCUCCAUCCUACCAGCAAGCAACUCAAGUGUCAUCUCCAGUGAAACCUCCUGCCCAGUUUACCGUCCCCUCAGCCAGAAACAACAACGGCUGGGACGAUGAUGAAGAAGAGGAGGAUGAUGAAGAUCCCCAAAGGGUAAAGUCUGAUUGCAUUUGCCUACAGAUGUACAAACCAUUAGAUAAGCAUAAAUUUCAGUGCUGAUUUAAGCUCCAAACUUUGGAAUUCACUACCUGCUUAAUUUAUUGAAAUUCUUUCAAUAAAUUUUUUUAUGAAUGUGUUUCUUUUUUUUUUUUCUGUGUAAGUGCAAUUGAGAAGCUUAUAUAAAAUAAGCUUUAUAAAAUAAAGCACUUAAGUGUAUUAAAUUAUUGUUAUUAUAAUUAUUAUUAUUAUUAUUAUUAUUUAAUGCUGGUGGACUAGCAUAGCAGCCUUGUUGUUCAGCAUCUCCUUUCUUCUUCCUUUAGGACAUGUUGAAGGAGUUUGAACUGACCGUCUCACUGACCAAAUCAUGGUGUGGCAGUUUUGGUUUUACAAUAACCAGGAGUAAACUGGACAACUGCUUUUAUGUCCAGGAGGUCCUGGAUAAUCCAGCCAAAGCAGAUGGCAGACUUAGGGCAGGAGACAGGCUUGUCAUGGUACCGCUUUUCCCACCAUUAGAAACACAAUCACAGUUUUGCAGUUAUAAGCCUCCCUUUCUGAAGAUUUCAUAAGAUUGGAUUGUCAGUGAUUUGAAUUGCCAUUAUCUCCAUUUCAGGUAAGCGGUCACAAUGUGACCAACGUGACAGAUGACGUGGCUAUUAGCAUCCUCAGGUCUUCCUCUAGAAGACUGCACAUGGUGCUGGGCAGAGCUGUGCAAAAUCUACUACCUCCGCCGCCUCCUGACACCCUCCAGGACAUUGUCAUCCCCAAGACUCCAUCCGGACAACUGGGUGAGGAGAUACUUUAUAGCAUAUAUAUACAAAAAGAUUUCACAUUCAGUUCAAAAUGAUAAUCCUUUUGCAUCUGUCUAUGCAGGUAUCAAGCUAACAGGGGGUAUUGGUAGCAAGUGGCAGGGAAUUUAUGUCCAGGAGGUGGUGCCAGGCUCCCCUGCUAGUGAAGAGGGCACCAUCCAACCCAAUGACAAGAUUGUUUACAUUUGUGGGAAGUGCACCCUGGGAAUGACGCUGGAGGAUGCUGUGAAAGUGUGUGAGAGUGCCCCUCGCACAGUCCGAUUCAAAGCCAUGAGAGAUGACCGACCAGUGAUACCAGUAGAUAAAUGGAAUGGUUUGUUUGAAUGGCAGGAGAAAAUAGUCUUCCCCCUCCUCGAAGAGCCUGUGUCCCCUGACAUGGAGGUGGCUCCUACCGAAGGUAAAGCCUUUGGUUUCCUGUGUCUCUGUUGUCUGAGAGUUGUGGCAUUAGAUCUGUGCUGACAGACAUGGCAUGUCCUGCUCAGAGGGCAGCAGGUGCAGGAUUAAUUAUUAGCAAGGGACAUGGCCUCCUCUGGCCAAUCAAAGUGCGCUUUCGUCGUGCCUGAUGAAUAAAGGCCAGCUGAUCUAGUGGGCA